CACGUAGGGGGCGAGCGUUGUCCGGAUUCAUUGGGCGUAAAGGGCGCGCAGGCGGCCCGGAAAGUCGGAUGUGAAAACUCGAGGCUCAAUCUCGAGCGUGCACCCGAUACUGCCGGGCUUGAGGCAGGUAGGGGAGAUCGGAAUUCCUGGUGUAGCGGUGAAAUGCGCAGAUAUCAGGAGGAACACCGGUGGCGAAGGCGGAUCUCUGGGCCUGUCCUGACGCUGAGGCGCGAAAGCUAGGGGAGCGAACAGG
rnacentral:rRNA from 1 species